GUGCUAUUGAUCUUUUACUUGUGCAUCCUUAAAAAGAAAGAUAUUUAAUGAAAAAAUUGAAAGUAAUAUUUAGUGAUGAGUUCCUGUCCAUUCUCAUUCAACAUAACUUUUGCAAAGUAUUCCUUGGUGUAAUAAAUAAAUUCUAUUUUGUUGGCUUUAUGAUUGCUGGAAAUUCCUUUGGAUUCAAAUAUUCGUUCACAUAUUUCCAAGCUAUCUUUACAAUGAUAGCUAUAAGACAAACAUAUUUAUCUGGUGUAUCCCUGUCAGUAUUCUAAAUGAAAUAAGACUAACCUUGAAGUAAAUGUCUGGUAGCAGCCGUUGGUGGUGGCGUUUUUCAUGCUUGUGUAUAGUAAUCUUUCUUGCCUUUUCUCGUCAUCUUGAAUGGCUUCGUUGUCGUCACACCCAUCAGAUGAACCACACUCCUGGAUCUUCACUAGGGACAGCAGUGAAUCUGUUACCUCUGCUCUGACCUCCAUUUCUUUAAUUGCUUUGCCCUUUCUUAGGGCCUUUUAUUUCAAAUAGCAAGUUAAUACAGCAGCCUCAGGUCCUCCUCUUUCUCUAAAAAUAAAUGCCGUGGAUAAGAUUCAUGUAAGUUUCUAUUUUCCCCCACUUAAAACGUAGCCUUACCUCCUUCUCUGGCGUAAUAUUUUGCAUGAAUAUAUUUUGAAAUUUUUUCCCAAACAAAGAUCUGUGAUUGACCCACUGAAAAGUGAGGUUAUUUGAAUAUCUGAAAUAAUAUGGUUAUGGAAUUAGGCUGUUUUGUGACUGCUGCUGUAUCAUUGUGUUUGCUCUGGUUAUAGUUUGAAAUCUGGUUAAUAUAAUCUUAAUUUGAGAGAGUUAGAUAGACUAGAAUUAUUAGUCCAUUAUAAAAAAUGAAUGUAAGAAUCUUUUCUCUCCCCAUUUAGACAACUUUGUAUCUUUUUUAAAAAUGUUCCUUCUUUCUUCCUCCCAGCCUUUUCCCCCGACUCCUAUUUGUAUACAUUCACACUAGAUACCACAGUUCUUCAAAGCUGAAUAAUAGCUAUUGAAAACUGAUGCUCUGACUUUUUUCUCUUAAUCUCAUG
rnacentral:lncRNA from 1 species